rnacentral:ncRNA from 1 species
AAAAAGAUGUUGAACAGGAGAAGUAAAUCCAUGCUACUUUAAUAGAGAGGAACCAUCGCAGGCUGAAAAUGGUUCUAAAGAACAGAUGGGUUGAAAUGCACCUGGGAGUUGUUGCUUGAAAGAGAGUAGGGCAAAUCGGGAGGUCCCGUUACAGACUAAAAGGGGAAUGAACUUUUUCAUUCAACCAGAGUGGAACCGCGGAAAAAACUUCGUCUCUGUA